ensembl:lncRNA
AGCUACCUGCUGAGACCCUCUCACUGUCGAGAACUCCCAUACUCAGGGCCCUCUUUUCCAUCUUAGGUACAAUCAAGGUUAGUGAUAUUCUGUGAAGUAUUGUCCCUGCUCAUUUUUGGAGGUGAAGUUGGAGAACAGUGGGAACCAAUAAAGAAUGAGGUUCCAGCUCAAGAUGAUGAUGUAGGAAGAUCCUGAACUCACCUCUACCCAUGGGCAAACUGGUUCUACAGCUACGUAGGAAACAAUUUCCUCCUUAAAAAACCCAGAGCCUAGCUGAAUGAUGACUAUACACCAGAUAGAUAAGAACAACAACAUCUCAAAGUAGAAGCAUACUGUACUAAAUUAAGUGUUGCUGCUGCUGCUGCUGCUAAGUCGCUUCAGUUGUGUCCGACUCUGUGCGACCCCAUAGACGGCAGCCCACUAGGCUCCCCUGUCCCUGGGAUUCUCCAGGCAAGAACACUGGAGUGGGUUGCCAUUUCCUUCUCCAAUGCAUGAAAGUGAAAGGUGAAAGUGAAGUCGCUCAAUUGUGUCUGACUCUUAGCAGCCCCAUGGACUGCAGCCCACCAGGCUCCUCCAUCCAUGGAACUUUCUAGGCAAGAGCACUGGAGUGGGGUGCCAAG